GACGAACGCUGGCGGCGUGCCUAAUACAUGCAAGUCGAGCGAGCAGAUGAGGAGGUUGCUCCUCGGACAUUAGGGGAGGACGGGGGACGAACACGUGGAUAACAACACUAUAAGAAUGGGAUAAAUUCGGGAAACCGCAGCUAAUACAGGGGAACAUAUAGAGCCGCAGAGAGCAAAACGGAAAGACGGCUUUGCAGACACGGCGAGAGCGGUCCGCGCCGCAUUAGCUAGUUGGUAAGGUAACGGCUUACCAAGGCAACGAUGCAUAGCCGACCUGAGAGGGUGAUCGGCCACACUGGAACUGAGACACGGUCCAGACUCCUACGGGGGGCAGCAGUAGGGAAUCUUCCGCAAUGGGCGAAAGUCUGAUGGAGCAACGCCGCGUGAGUGAUGAAGGUCUUCGGAUCGUAAAGCUCUGUUAUUAGUGAAGAACAAAUGUGUAAGUAACUGUGCACUUCUUGACGGUACCCAAUCAGAAAGCCACGGCUAACUACGUG
rnacentral:rRNA from 1 species